rnacentral:lncRNA from 1 species
UGAAAACAGCUUGUAAUAGCCACUCGAGGUCGCCUUCUUAGGAACUCACCUUGAGGGACUAAGUGAAGGUCAACCUGAGGUCCUGGAAAAUAAACUUCUUGCUUUUACAUCGAUCUGCGACUCAGUGUCUCACUCGGGGUCAUCUCAAAAGGAAAACCCCACUGACACACAGGGAAGGAUGGAGACACAGUCCAGCAAGGAUUCAAGACUGCAUGCUGCCCAGGCCGGAGUCCAUUUUGACUUCUUCCAAAGCAAGGCUUAGUCAUCUGUGAGAGUUUCCAGCACUCUGUCCCUCCAGCAACUUACUAUGGUGGUCCGGACAUCUAAUGCUCCACGGCUCCUGCUUCAUAGCAACCCCACCCAAACCUGCUUUCUUUAACUAAAUUAGAAGUCACCGGAGGAAAUCUUCUUGGCUCUGGUGAAGGCCUUGGCCUACCUGUACAUCUGUCCUAUCUAUCCAUCUGUCCUACACAUCCUGGAUCCGGAACAGCCACUCCUGCCUUCGUUGGGAUCUGUAACACACCAACCAUAUUCAAUGUGUUCCACUGAGUCACCUGCUCUGCGGUUCAAACACCUACCACACCAGACUUUUUUUUUUUUAAGGGGGAGAGGCAGGUUUCUCCUAGAGAGAGCUGUCUUUCUAGAAAUAAUUCAGACUUUAACCAGAGAAGAGCCACACAGGGACUUAUCAGUAUGAUUAAAUUUCCUGCGAAGGGGAUAUGUGGUCACAGGUCAUAUACCUAGGCAGCCCUCCACUGUCCUGUGGCAGGUGGGGUGGGGAUAUUGUAACUAUCGUGAUCCGAGUUCCUGGACCUCUGUCAGGCCAAGGCUAGGUACAUAGCCUCUGUCCUAUGGCGGAGCUCAGCACAGAAGAUCAGACAAUACAUCUGUUGUAUUCGGCCACUGGGGUGGAUUUUAAAGGCAUGUGUUCUGUGAAAAGAGCCAGGCACAAGAGAACACUGGCUGGCUGCUUCUAUUUAAACAACAUUCUGGGGAUGGCAGGCAACAAUAGUAGAGAUCAGAACAGUCCAUAUCAGGCAGAGGUCAGAAGGCUGCAACGAAGACAGGAGAGAACUUUUGGAGGGGAUGGAUGUGGGUUUUGAGCUGAAGCAGUAGCCAGCCCAGCUUUUCAUUUGUCAAAAGCCUCAGGACUCAGAGAAUAUGAAUAAUUUCUGGCAUUUAUUGUAUGUAAAUUAUACCUCAGUACAGUAGUUCUUUGGUUUCUUUGCUGUUUUUUGUUUGUUUA